rnacentral:rRNA from 1 species
UGGGGAAUAUUGGACAAUGGGCGCAAGCCUGAUCCAGCCAUGCCGCGUGAGUGAUGAAGGCCCUAGGGUUGUAAAGCUCUUUCACCGGUGAAGAUAAUGACGGUAACCGGAGAAGAAGCCCCGGCUAACUUCGUGCCAGCAGCAGCGGUAAUACGAAGGGGGCUAGCGUUGUUCGGAUUUACUGGGCGUAAAGCGCACGUAGGCGGACUAUUAAGUCAGGGGUGAAAUCCCGGGGCUCAACCCCGGAACUGCCUUUGAUACUGGUAGUCUUGAGUUCGAGAGAGGUGAGUGGAAUUCCGAGUGUAGAGGUGAAAUUCGUAGAUAUUCGGAGGAACACCAGUGGCGAAGGCGGCUCACUGGCUCGAUACUGACGCUGAGGUGCGAAAGCGUGGGGAGCAAACAGG